rnacentral:rRNA from 1 species
GAUAGGUAGGAGCCAUUGAAACGUGAGCGCUAGCUUACGUGGAGGCGUUGGUGGGAUACUACCCUAGCUGUGUUGGCUUUCUAACCCGCACCACUUAUCGUGGUGGGAGACAGUGUCAGGCGGGCAGUUUGACUGGGGCGGUCGCCUCCUAAAAGGUAACGGAGGCGCUCAAAGGUUCCCUCAGAAUGGUUGGAAAUCAUUCACAGAGUGUAAAGGCAUAAGGGAGCUUGACUGCGAGACCUACAAGUCGAGCAGGGUCGAAAGACGGACUUAGUGA